rnacentral:tRNA from 1 species
UAGAAUUCCAGCUUUGGGUGUUGGUGGUGAGGUUUAAUGUCUCUUCCUUGA